GAGCGCUCGGAGGAGGAGCCACCGCUGCUGGGGAGGCGCGUCGCCGGCAGGCAGCCACGGGGGAGACACGCUACCGACGCCUGGUGCUCUUCGCGUCCUGGGCUGGCUGCCUGGCGUGUACCAUGGAGGAGCGCUCUAUUGUUAGAACGGCCUAACAUCGGAAAAUUGGGCUAGACAUCAGCUUAUGGUGAGGGUUCAGGUCACAGUGGCUCUCUUGCAAGCCCCUUCAGCCCCAAGUCUUGGCGAUCGCCAAGAACUCAUCCAACCUGGUGCCUCAGCUCAAUUUUGAAUACUUUAGCAUGCCCACUUAUACAAGUCGAUGCAGUCUGGAAGCUUAACUGAGUCUCGCCGAAGGUCUCUUUGGCACUUCAACCCAAAGCAUUUGGGCUGCAACUCGGAACUCAUAUUGGAGCAAUUCUAUGCAUCCAAGAUGAAGAUUGGUUCAUGGACAAUAGAGUGAUAUUACCGCUGCUGCAGCCAAUGAUUUCAUAUCAGCUCUAGGUCAAUGGGAGAUCGCUCCCCAGUUAGCAGCCAUAUUCAAUAGUUCAUCAUUCGGUCACAGGAGGAUCUAUCACAUUCCGAGGCGCCACAACUAUCGAGUGUAUCAUCAGGUUAGGCUGACACUUAGGAUGCUUGAUAGAAGUAUUGCUUUUAGGGCUUAAGUUAUUCUCCAGAAUCUGGGUUAUGAUCAAUGAGAGUUGUUUUUUCAGAACAUGCACUGUUGCCGUUCAGAUCUAUCUCUGUAAAGUGUUGCUAAUUAAUGAAAUUCCCCAGUUAAAAAAUCAAAAGCUUUCACUGAAUCUUUUCUGUUUGUUUUUGUUAGUUAGUCUGUGAGAGCUGAAUCGUUGUUUGUCAUGUUGUAAGAGUAUGUUUACUUAUUGUUCCUUUCUGA